GAUGAACGCUGGCGGCGUGCCUAAUACAUGCAAGUCGAGCGAACGGACGAGAAGCUUGCUUCUCUGAUGUUAGCGGCGGACGGGUGAGUAACACGUGGAUAACCUACCUAUAAGACUGGGAUAACUUCGGGAAACCGGAGCUAAUACCGGAUAAUAUUUUGAACCGCAUGGUUCAAAAGUGAAAGACGGUCUUGCUGUCACUUAUAGAUGGAUCCGCGCUGCAUUAGAUGGUUGGUAGGGUAAAGGCUUACCAAGGCAACGAUGCGUAGCCGACGUGAGAGGGUGAUCGCCGACCUUAGAGGUGAGACGCGGUCCAGACGCCUGCGAGAGGCAGCAGUAGCGAAUCUGCCGCAGUGGGCGAAAGCAUGACGGAGCAACGGCGCGUGAGUGAUGGAGGUCCUGGGAUCGUAAAACUCUGUUAUUAGGGAAGAACAUAUGUGUAAGGAACUGUGCCCAUCUUGACGGUACCUAAUCAGAAAGCCACGGCUAACUACGUG
rnacentral:rRNA from 1 species